rnacentral:misc_RNA from 1 species
UCCGGUUUGUCACCGGCAGUCCCUUUAGAGUCCCCGGCAUAACCCGCUGGUAACUAAAGGCAAUGGUUGCGCUCGUUGCGGGACUUAACCCAACACUUCACAGCACGAGCUGACGACAGCCAUGCAGCACCUGUACUAGACUUCGAUUGGAUACGAUCGCCCCGACUUUCAUCAGAACUACUUCUAGAUUGUCAAGCCUAGGUAAGGUUCCUCGCGUAGCCUCGAAUUAAACCACAUGCUCCACCGCUUGUGCGGGUCCCCGUCAAUUCCUUUGAGUUUCAGUCUUGCGACCGUACUCCCCAGGUGGUAGAUUUAAUGUGUUAACUUUGGCGCUGAGAGGAUCGACUCUCCCAACACCUAAUCUACAUCGUUUACGGCUGGGACUAC